UACGUAGGGGGCAAGCGUUGUCCGGAUUUACUGGGCGUAAAGGGCUCGUAGGCGGUCUGUCGCGUCGGGAGUGAAAACUCAGGGCUUAACCCUGAGCCUGCUUCCGAUACGGGCAGACUAGAGGUAUGCAGGGGAGAACGGAAUUCCUGGUGUAGCGGUGAAAUGCGCAGAUAUCAGGAGGAACACCGGUGGCGAAGGCGGGUCUCUGGGCCGAUACUGACGCUGAGGAGCGAAAGCGUGGGGAGCGAACAGG
rnacentral:rRNA from 1 species